rnacentral:tRNA from 1 species
GGGUGUAGAGCUAUAGUUGUUAGCAUUUAUUUUGCAAAAAUAAAAGAGGAUACAGUUCCCUCAUCCU